rnacentral:tRNA from 1 species
AAGGGUAUAACUCUGGUAGAGCACGUGCUUAGCAUGCACGAGGUCCUGGGUUCAAUCCCCAGCACCUCUG